UUUGCCCCCUCAACCUAAUGGCCCCGUUAAGUUGAUGACGUGGCAAUGCCACGUCAUCGACUUAACGGGGCCGUUAGGUUGAGGGGGCAA
rnacentral:pre_miRNA from 1 species